rnacentral:rRNA from 1 species
AAGUAACGAUAAAGGGGGCGGGAAACCCCCUCGCCGAAAGACUAAGGUUUCCUGAUCAACGCUAAUCGGAUCAGGGUCAGUCGGGUCCUAAGGCUCAGCCGAACGGCGAUGCCGAUGGCAGAAACGGUUAAUAUUCCGUUACUACCUUCAGGAGUGACGUGGAGACGCAGUAGUGACAGUGCCGCCAUCUGACGGAAUAGAUGGUUGAAGGGUGUAGGAGUCGAUCAUGGCAGGCAAAUCCACCAUGAGAUCCGAACCUGAUAGUAUGCCGCGUCCUUCGGGACAAGGCAAUAGUGCGCGUAAGCAUGCUGCCGAGAAAAUCCGCUAAACUUAAUCCUGUAGGUACCCGUACCGCAAACGGACACACGUAGUCGGGAUGAAUAUUCUAAGGCGCUUGAGUGAUUCACGGUUAAGGAACUAGGCAAACUGACCCUGUAACUUCGGGAUAAAGGGUCCCUACCCUUUUAUGGGAGGGCGCAGAGAAUCGGUCCAGGCAACUGUUUAACAAAAACACAGGGCUGUGCCAAAUCGAAAGAUCCAGUAUACAGCCUGACACCUGCCCGGUGCUGGAAGGUUAAGAGGAGAUGUCAUCGAUAAGAGAAGCGUUGAAUUGAAGCCCCAGUAAACGGCGGCCGUAACUAUAACGGUCCUAAGGUAGCGAAAUUCCUUGUCGGGUAAGUUCCGACCUGCACGAAUGGUGUAAUGAUCUGGACGCUGUCUCAACCGUGAGCUCAGUGAAAUUGUAGUAUCGGUGAAGAUGCCGAUUACCCGCGAUGGGACGAAAAGACCCCGUGAACCUUUACUAUAGCUUAUCAUUGAAUCUGGGCACGUGAUGUGUAGGAUAGGUCGGAGGCUUUGAAGCAGGUACGCCAGUAUUUGUGGAGCCGCUGUUGAAAUACGACCCUUUAUUUGUUUGGAUUCUAACCCGUGGAACGGGGACAUUGAUUGGUGGGUAGUUUGACUGGGGUGGUCGCCUCCAAAAGCGUAACGGAGGCUUCUAAAGGUGCCCUCCGGCCGAUUGGUAACCGGCCUUAGAGUGUAAUGGCAUAAGGGCGCUUGACUGGGAGACUAACAAGUCGAUCAGGUAGGAAACUAGAGCAUAGUGAUCCGGUGUUUCCGUAUGGAAGGGACAUCGCUCAAAGGAUAAAAGGUACUCCGGGGAUAACAGGCUGAUCCCUCCCAAGAGCUCAUAUCGACGGAG